GGACCGCAUGAUUCUGGUAUCAAAGGAGCAAUCCGCUGAAAGAUGGGCUCGCGUCCGAUUAGCUAGUUGGCGGGGUAACGGCCCACCAAGGCGACGAUCGGUAGCCGGACUGAGAGGUUGAUCGGCCACAUUGGGACUGAGACACGGCCCAGACUCCUACGGGAGGCAGCAGUGGGGGAUAUUGCACAAUGGAGGAAACUCUGAUGCAGCGACGCCGCGUGAGGGAAGACGGUCUUCGGAUUGUAAACCUCUGUCUUUGGGGACGAUAAUGACGGUACCCAAGGAGGAAGCUCCGGCUAACUACGUGCCAGCAGCCGCGGUAAUACGUAGGGAGCGAGCGUUGUCCGGAAUUACUGGGUGUAAAGGGAGCGUAGGCGGGGUCUCAAGUCGAAUGUUAAAUCUACCGGCUCAACUGGUAGCUGCGUUCGAAACUGGGGCUCUUGAGUGAAGUAGAGGCAGGCGGAAUUCCUAGUGUAGCGGUGAAAUGCGUAGAUAUUAGGAGGAACACCAGUGGCGAAGGCGGCCUGCUGGGCUUUUACUGACGCUGAGGCUCGAAAGCGUGGGGAGCAAACAGGAUUAGAUACCCUGGUAGUCCACGCCGUAAACGGAUGAAAGUAGGGUGUGGGGGGGACUGCCCCCCUUCCGUGCCGGAGGUAACACAAUAAAGUAAUCCACCUGGGGGAGUACGGCCGCAAAGGUUGAAACUCAAAAGAAUUGACGCGGGGCCCGCACAAGCAGUGGAUUAUGUGGUUUAAUUCGAAGCAACGCGAAGAACCUUACCAGGUCUUGACAUCGAGUGACGGCUCUAGAGAUAGAGCUUUCCUUCGGGACACAAAGACAGGUGGUGCAUGGUUGUCGUCAGCUCGUGUCGUGAGAUGUUGGGUUAAGUCCCGCAACGAGCGCAACCCUUAUUAUUGGUUGCUACAUUCAGUUGAGCACUCUAAUGAGACUGCCGUUGACAAAACGGAGGAAGGUGGGGAUGACGUCAAAUCAUCAUGCCCCUUAUGACCUGGGCUACACACGUAAUACAAUGGCGAUCAACAGAGGGAAGCAAGACCGCGAGGUGGAGCAAACCCCUAAAAGUCGUCUCAGUUCGGAUUGCAGGCUGCAACUCGCCUGCAUGAAGUCGGAAUUGCUAGUAAUCGCGGAUCAGCAUGCCGCGGUGAAUAAGUUCCCGGGCCUUGCACA
rnacentral:rRNA from 1 species